rnacentral:rRNA from 1 species
GACGAACGCUGGCGGCGUGCUUAACACAUGCAAGUCGAACGGAAAGGCCCUGCUUGCCGGGUACUCGAGUGGCGAACGGGUGAGUAACACGUGGGUGAUCUGCCCUGCACUUCGGGAUAAGCCUGGGAAACUGGGUCUAAUACCGGAUAGGAGCCAUUUUUAGUGUGAUGGUUGGAAAGUUUUUUCGGUGUAGGAUGAGCUCGCGGCCUAUCAGCUUGUUGGUGGGGUAAUGGCCUACCAAGGCGGCGACGGGUAGCCGGCCUGAGAGGGUGGACGGCCACAUUGGGACUGAGAUACGGCCCAGACUCCUACGGGAGGCAGCAGUGGGGAAUAUUGCACAAUGGGCGCAAGCCUGAUGCAGCGACGCCGCGUGGGGGAUGACGGCCUUCGGGUUGUAAACUCCUUUCGCUAGGGACGAAGCUUUUUGUGGCGGUACCUAGAUAAGAAGCACCGGCUAACUACGUG